AUGGCUAAAAUUUUCUUCUUUGCAAUCAUUUAUAUUACCUUCAUUUUUUCAGUCAUAUCUAUAGCAAAUGGUGAAAACAAGCCAAGACAUUGUGUCGCAUAUGGUGAUGGCGAAUGUAUGCGUGAAGCUUGUGGAAAAUGGUGCACUCAAAGUCAUAAUGGUAAUGGAACUUGUGUUGGCACAAAUGUAGAUCCUACUAAACCUGAUUAUAAGUGUCUUUGUGUUUGUAUAUAUGAUUGUACUGCUUAG